rnacentral:rRNA from 1 species
CCUACGGGAGGCAGCAGUGGGGGAUAUUGCACAAUGGGGGGAACCCUGAUGCAGCGACGCCGCGUGGGUGAAGAAGCGCCCCGGCGCGUAAAGCCCUGUCAGCAGGGAAGAAAAUGACGGAACCUGAAGAAGAAGCCCCGGCUAACUACGUGCCAGCAGCCGCGGUAAUACGUAGGGGGCAAGCGUUAUCCGGAUUUACUGGGUGUAACGGGGGCGCAGACGGCGAUGCAAGCCAGGAGUGAAAGCCCGGGGCCCAACCCCGGGACUGCUCUUGGAACUGCGUGGCUGGAGUGCAGGAGGGGCAGGCGGAAUUCCUGGUGUAGCGGUGAAAUGCGUAGAUAUCAGGAGGAACACCGGUGGCGAGGGCGGCCUGCUGGACUGCAACUGACGUUGAGGCCCGAAAGCGUGGGGAGCAAACAGGAUUAGAUACCCUUGUAGUC